UAUAAAAAAAAAUUCUAAUUGAACCAUAAUCAAAUCUUAAUAUAACCUUUAAUAAAUCCUAAUGAAAUUUUAAACAAAUCUUAAUUAAAUUCUAAAUCAAAUCCUAGUAAAAACUUAAAUUUUAACUAAAUCCUAAAUCAAGUUUCAAACAAAUCCUAAAUCCAUAUAAAAUCUUAAUCAAAUAUUAAAUCUUAAUUUUACAUCAAAUCUCAAUCAAAUCUUAAACCUUAAUUUUACAUCAAAUCUCAAUCAAAUCUUAAAACUUAAUUUUAUAUCAAAUCUUAAUCAUAGAUUAAAUCCUAAUGAAAUCCUAAA
rnacentral:lncRNA from 1 species